UAGGACGAACGCUGGCGGCGUGCCUAACACAUGCAAGUCGAACGGAGUCAAGAAGCUUGCUUUUGACUUAGUGGCGGACGGGUGAGUAACGCGUGAGUAACCUGCCUCUGAGAGGGGAAUAACGUUCUGAAAAGAACGCUAAUACCGCAUAAUGUAUCGAAGCCGCAUGACUUUGACACCAAAGAUUUUAUCGCUCGGAGAUGGACUCGCGUCCGAUUAGUUAGUUGGUGAGGUAACGGCUCACCAAGACCGCGAUCGGUAGCCGGACUGAGAGGUUGAUCGGCCACAUUGGGACUGAGACACGGCCCAGACUCCUACGGGAGGCAGCAGUGGGGGAUAUUGCGCAAUGGGGGCAACCCUGACGCAAGCAACGCCGCGUGAAGGAUGAAGGUUUUCGGAUUGUAAACUUCUUUUAUCAGGGACGAGGCUUGACGGUACCUGAUGAAUAAGCUCCGGCUAACUACGUGCCAGCAGCUGC
rnacentral:rRNA from 1 species